UAUGUUUUUUCCCCUCUAUUUUAAUUAUGUAUGUGAACUCCAACUUUGUUAUAUCUUCUACGAGGAUUGGUCAUGAAUGAGCUCCAGAUCCCAAAUUAAUUUAGAAAAUAAUGGGAGUAGUUCUUUAAUCCAUUUUUUAUUUGGUUUUUAUUUUAGUAUAACACUUCACUUAUGGCUAUCAAAUUACUACAUUUUCUGUGCAGUUAACUUUAAGUCGUUGAUUUCAAACAUUUUGCUCAUAACUCUGAAUAUUAAUAUUUUAAAAUGGUUUGACAUGUAGAGAUUGAAUUAAAUAAGUACAGUAUCAUGAAGAAUCUAAAAACAUUUCUCAUGAGUAAUAGGUUGAAUUAGUUAAAGAUGAUGAUUUCUUAUAUGUCCAAAUAUUUUGUAAAAGAUUCUUUUAUUAUCACACUGGCUGAAAUGGGCCAAAAUUGAGAAUCCAUGGAGCCUCGUUUGAUAAUGUUGCAUGUGAUGGGCCAAAAUUUCCAGCAGAGCGACUCACAAAAAUUCCCUUUUCCAUUGCUCUAAAUGUGCCAAUAGCUAUGCUGUCAUUAUAAAAGGGAGUGCUCUGAACAAGAAUCGAGAGAGAAAGCACAUCGACGCCAUCAUCAAUGGCAGCUUCCAUUCCUGCCAAUAUAUCACCAUCAUCAAUGUGUUUGGAAAUGCUAAUGGCAUUGCAGUCGGAGUCUGCCAUUGAUGAUGGCGUCGAUGUGCUUUCUCUCUCGAUUCUUGUUCAGAGCACUCCCUUUUAUAAUGACAGCAUAGCUAUUGGCACAUUUAGAGCAAUGGAAAAGGGAAUUUUUGUGAGUCGCUCUGCCUGAAAUUUUGGCCCAUCACAUGCAAUAUUAUCAAACGAGGCUCCAUGGAUUCUCAAUUUUGGCCCAUGUCAGCAAGUGUGAUAAUAAAAGAAUCUUUUUCAAAAUAUUUGGACAUAUAAGAAAUCAUCAUCUUUAACUAAUUCAACCUAUUACUCAUGAGAAAUGUUUUUAGAUUCUUCAAGAUACUGUACUUAUUUAAUUCAAUCUCUACAUGUCAAACCAUUUUAAAAUAUUAAUAUUCAGAGUUAUGAGCAAAAUGUCUGAAAUCAACUCUUUAGAGUGAGAGAGACACAGUGAUAGGAAAGCGAGAGUGACAUCUAGUAAAGAAAUUUCGAAAUGGUAUUUUAAUUGUAGAACGAUCCAAUUAGAUUUCAAUGCGCUGUCAAAAUAUUGAAAUUAAUGGUUUAGUUUAGUACAAAACCAUUUCAUGGACAGGUCCACGUGACUCGAAAUCGUUGAUUUCAAAAAAGGGAUUUCAAUUCAAUUUUUCAAUUUGAUAAUUUUUACUUACAACCUUUAUUUCGUGUGGUGGUGUGACUCCAUUAUCAUGCCUUAACAUUGGAGGGUUUAACUUUUAUUACAAAAUAAAAUUUGAACUGCCCAAAAUCUUUCGUAUAUUAUAACUAGUUUAUGGUAUGCGCGUUGCACGUAUUGCAUCGUAAUUAAUUGUCUAGAAAAUGUUACUAAUCUGAGCAUUAUACGAAAAAUUAAAUCAUGUAUGACUUAAAGUUAACUGCACAGAAAAUGUAGUAAUUUGAUAACCAUAAGUGAAGUGUUAUACUAAAAUAAAAACCAAAUAAAAAAUGGAUUAAAGAACUACUCCCAUUAUUUUCUAAAUUAAUUUGGGAUCUGGAGCUCAUUCAUGACCAAUCCUCGUAGAAGAUAUAACAAAGUUGGAGUUCACAUACAUAAUUAAAAUAGAGGGGAAAAAACAUAUUUACCUUAUAUAAGUUUCAUAUUUUACUCUUAUGUUAAAUAAAAUACAGAAAAUGCUGCAUAACUGAGUAAAAGUAUCAGAAGUACUAUAACAAAACUUUCCUUAAAUUCAUAUGUAAAUGAAAAUGUUGACCGAGAUUCAAAAGGAGGAAUUAAUUGAAAUUGUUGGAAAUGUGUGGAUUCAAAUUCAAAAUCGAUCUUGUAUGGUGUGGUAACAUCAAAUGUUGGGAUAUGAGCCAAAUUGGUCUUCGACAGUGGGACACAUUUAGUUCUAGAAAGAUUUUUAGCUGUUGAUGAAACGAAUAUUCCGGUAAAAUUUCUGAUCUUAAUUAUUGUUUAUUUAUGAUGUAGGAUUUUAUAUUCAAGAGAUAUUCUUAAUUUUGUUAUAUAACCUGUGUCACCAGAUUUCAUAUCAUGGGUAAUGUAAAUGAUCCGGUGAAAAUUUCAGAUCUAGUUCAUUGUUGAUUUCAUAUUCAACAAAUAUACAUAAUUAGAAUUUAUAACCCACCUCGCUAGAUUUUAGAUGAUGAUGUGUAAAUUGAAAUUGAACAGAUAUCUUAAUUAAGUGUGAAGAUCUACCCAAAAAGGAUAUGUUUAAAA
rnacentral:lncRNA from 1 species